rnacentral:tRNA from 1 species
CAAAUCAGAGCUUGGAUAAGCUUUUUAUUUACAUUAAAAUUAUAUUUGUGUAACUCAAAUUGAUUUGA